CAGCCGCCACGGUAAUACGGAGGGUGCAAGCGUUAAUCGGAAUUACUGGGCGUAAAGCGCACACAGGCGGUUUGUUAAGUCAGAUGUGAAAUCCCCGAGCCUAACUUGGGAACUGCAUUUGAAACUGGCAAGCUAGAGUCUUGUAGAGGGGGGUAGAAUUCCAGGUGUAGCGGUGAAAUGCGUAGAGAUCUGGAGGAAUACCGGUGGCGAAGGCGGCCCCCUGGACAAAGACUGACGCUCAGGUGCGAAAGCGUGGGGAGCAAACAGGAUUAGAUACCCCGGUAGUCCCUGUCUCUUAUAC
rnacentral:rRNA from 1 species